GAUGAACGCUAGCGGGAGGCUUAACACAUGCAAGUCGAGGGGCAGCAUAGGGUAGCAAUACUCUGAUGGCGACCGGCAAACGGGUGAGUAACGCGUAUGCAACCUACCCUGUACAGGGGGAUAACCCGGAGAAAUUCGGACUAAUAUCCCGUAAUAAUAUCCGGAGGCAUCUUUGGAUAUUUAAAGUUUCGACGGUACGGGAUGGGCAUGCGUAACAUUAGCUGGUUGGUAAGGUAACGGCUUACCAAGGCUAUGAUGUUUAGGGGUCCUGAGAGGGUGGUCCCCCACACUGGUACUGAGACACGGACCAGACUCCUACGGGAGGCAGCAGUGAGGAAUAUUGGUCAAUGGGCGCAAGCCUGAACCAGCCAUCCCGCGUGCAGGAAGACGGCCCUAUGGGUUGUAAACUGCUUUUCCAGGGAGAGAAACUUACGCACGUGUUGCGUGACUGACGGUACCCUGGGAAUAAGCAUCGGCUAACUCCGUGCCAGCAGCCGCGGUAAUCGUAGCGUG
rnacentral:rRNA from 1 species